AGCACCGGCGACGGAUCAUUCAAUUGUCUGCCCUAUCAACUUUCGUCGGUACGGUAUUUGCCUACCGAGGUUCUUACGGGUGACGGGGAAUCAGGGUUCGAUUCCGGAGAGGGAGCCUGAGAAACGGCUACCACAUCCAAGGAAGGCAGCAGGCGCGCAAAUUACCCAUUCCCGACGCGGGGAGGUAGUGACGAAAAAUAACAAUGCAGGACUCGUUCGAGGCCCUGUAAUUGGAAUGAGUACACUUUAAAAGCUUUAACGAGUAUCCAUUGGAGGGCAAGUCUGGUGCCAGCAGCCGCGGUAAUUCCAGCUCCAAAAGUAUAUAUUUAAGUUGUUGCGGUUAAAAAGCUCGUAGUUGGAUUUUGGGCGCAGGCGGCCGGUCCGUCGCAAGGCGUGUACUGGACGUCCUGGCCUUCCCUCCGGUUCUCCGCCGGUGCUCUUGACUGAGUGUCGGCGGCGGCCGGAACGUUUACUUUGAAAAAAUUAGAGUGUUCAAAGCAGGCUCUCGAGCCUGGAUAAUGGUGCAUGGAAUAAUGGAAUAGGACCUCGGUUCUAUUUUGUUGGUUUUCGGAGCGCGAGGUAAUGAUUAAGAGGGACAGACGGGGGCAUUCGUACUGUGCCGUUAGAGGUGAAAUUCUUGGAUCGGCGCAAGACGAACGACUGCGAAAGCAUCUGCCAAGAAUGUUUUCUUUAAUCAAGAGCGAAAGUC
rnacentral:ncRNA from 1 species